rnacentral:lncRNA from 1 species
UAAGGAAUCCCCUUGAAUCCCCCUUGGAUUGAAUCAUCUCACUGCUCAUUAGGUCCACCUGCUUGGGGCAUAACUGUGGUGUAACUCCACUCUCUCUUAAAUGGCUGAGGAUCUUAGCUGGGCCAGCACAUGCUGCCCGCUGGCACUGUGGCAGUGGGUUGUUGUCCUUGGUUUUGUAUUUCAUGACUUGCCAGUUCAGAGCAGUCCUAGAUUAGUGUUAAUCUAGGAGGCAGCUGAAUUGCUUCACCUCUCAAUAAAGUGCAACAGACAGGAGAUGACCCUCAGGAGUGGGUUAUACAUGAAAUGUGCAGUCUUCUAGAUGUUUCACCUCUAGUAUUCUCCAGAGGUAUUCUUCAAAGACCUGGAAACUUGAGGCUGAAUCUGCAGGGUGAAAUGAGAUUCCUUCUGGUGGUUUGCCUAAGGAAUGAUGUGCCCCUGGCAGAAGUGAAGGUGAAGACUAAGCUCCAGUCUAUGAAACAAAAUGCAUCUCUGGCGUCUCAGCCCAAGAAGGAGCAGCACAGCUCUGGUUAG